GCAGUCGAGCGGUAGAGAGAAGCUUGCUUCUCUUGAGAGCGGCGGACGGGUGAGUAAUGCCUAGGAAUCUGCCUGGUAGUGGGGGAUAACGUUCGGAAACGGACGCUAAUACCGCAUACGUCCUACGGGAGAAAGCAGGGGACCUUCGGGCCUUGCGCUAUCAGAUGAGCCUAGGUCGGAUUAGCUAGUUGGUGAGGUAAUGGCUCACCAAGGCGACGAUCCGUAACUGGUCUGAGAGGAUGAUCAGUCACACUGGAACUGAGACACGGUCCAGACUCCUACGGGAGGCAGCAGUGGGGAAUAUUGGACAAUGGGCGAAAGCCUGAUCCAGCCAUGCCGCGUGUGUGAAGAAGGUCUUCGGAUUGUAAAGCACUUUAAGUUGGGAGGAAGGGCAGUUACCUAAUACGUGAUUGUUUUGACGUUACCGACAGAAUAAGCACCGGCUAACUCUGUGCCAGCAGCCGCGGUAAUACAGAGGGUGCAAGCGUUAAUCGGAAUUACUGGGCGUAAAGCGCGCGUA
rnacentral:rRNA from 1 species